ACGGGGACAACAUUCCGAAAGGAGUGCUAAUACCGGAUGUGAUCAUCUUGCCGCAUGGCAGGAUGAAGAAAGAUGGCCUCUACAAGUAAGCUAUCGCUAAAGGAUGGGCCUGCGUCUGAUUAGCUAGUUGGUAGUGUAACGGACUACCAAGGCGAUGAUCAGUAGCCGGUCUGAGAGGAUGAACGGCCACAUUGGGACUGAGACACGGCCCAA
rnacentral:rRNA from 1 species